AGUGAACGCUGGCGGUAGGCCUAACACAUGCAAGUCGAACGGCAGCACAGGAGAGCUUGCUCUCUGGGUGGCGAGUGGCGGACGGGUGAGGAAUACAUCGGAAUCUACUCUGUCGUGGGGGAUAACGUAGGGAAACUUACGCUAAUACCGCAUACGACCUACGGGUGAAAGCAGGGGAUCUUCGGACCUUUCGCGAUUGAAUGAGCCGAUGUCGGAUUAGCUAGUUGGCGGGGUAAAGGCCCACCAAGGCGACGAUCGGUAGCUGGUCUGAGAGGAGCCUCAGCCACACUGGAACUGAGCCCCGGGCCAGCCUCCUACGGGAGGCAGCAGUGGGGAAUGUUGGACAAUGGGGGAAAGCCUGAUCCAGCCAUACCGCGUGGGUGAAGAAGGCCUUCGGGUUGUAAAGCCCUUUUGUGGGGAAAGAAAUCCAUCUGGUUAAUACCCGGGUGGGAUGACGGUACCCAAAGAAUAAGCACCGGCUAACUUCGUGCCAGCAGCCGCCGUAA
rnacentral:rRNA from 1 species